UACGAAGGGGGCUAGCGUUGCUCGGAAUCACUGGGCGUAAAGCGCACGUAGGCGGAUCUUUAAGUCAGGGGUGAAAUCCUGGAGCUCAACUCCAGAACUGCCUUUGAUACUGGGAUCUCGAGUCCGGGAGAGGUGAGUGGAACUCCGAGUGUAGAGGUGAAAUUCGUAGAUAUUCGGAAGAACACCAGUGGCGAAGGCGGCUCACUGGCCCGGUACUGACGCUGAGGUGCGAAAGCGUGGGGAGCAACAGG
rnacentral:rRNA from 1 species